GGAGUCAUAGCUCAGUGGUAGAGCGAAGGAUUGCAGUCACACAUAACUCGAUAAUAUCCUUAGGUCGCCGGUUCGAUCCCGGCUGGCUCCU